UGGGAUGGCACUACACAAAUCAACUGAACUCAGAUUAUAACAGCAAAGCAAUAGAAAGGAGUUUGGGAAGGCAGGGAAAGGGGAAUCAAAUCUGCAGGAACUGAGAAUAACAUCCCAGGCUCCCUUGGGAUUCCUUUGCCAGCACAACCCCUCCCUUCAAGAGAACAGCAGCUGCCUGAGACUAUGAACCCAGGGGCACACACACCACAGCAUCCACCACAAGACUCAAAAAGGAUUGGGAAGCAGAACCUGUGUCACAGCUAAAGACUCUACUGAGUGAGUGGAGGAAGCACUGGGAAUCACAGGGAAGGAGGGAAACAGAGCUAAUUUGUAGCUGUAUAGACUGUUGAGACACGAAGAAAGCAGUAAGAGACAACAUUACUUUUUAUGCAGCCAAGAUGAGAUCACCUAUCCACUCUCUACAGCACUAAACACUCCAUCUGGGCACUAGCAGUUCAGGCUGGGCCAAGAAAGCAGGAUGUUAAAGACUUUAAGAAGACAGCAUUUUAAGUGCCUGUCCCAGAGAUAUGCCCCAAAAGAUUCAUGAAAUAACACAAAGCCAGUGAAGAGUGGGAGUCACUCUGGAUGACAGG